CGCUGAUCGACAACUCGCUCACCAAAAAGCCGCAGGUGGUCAAGAUCGAACCGACGGACAAGGCGUUCAAGACCGACGGCUGCCAGCCCUGGCAGCUGACCCCGGACGCCCCGGUACCCGCCGCCGUCCCCGGCCCGAUCGCGGGGGCCCAAUUGCAGGGCACCCUGGGCACUCUCAACGGGCUGCUCGGCCCGAACGGGAUGCGCGUC
rnacentral:ncRNA from 1 species